rnacentral:rRNA from 1 species
CCUACGGGGGGCAGCAGUGGGGAAUAUUGGACAAUGGGCAAAAGCCUGAUCCAGCCAUGCCGCGUGUGUGAAGAAGGCCUUCGGGUUGUAAAGCACUUUCAGUGGGGAAGAAAGCCUUGGGGCUAAUACCCUCGAGGAAGGACAUCACCCACAGAAGAAGCACCGGCUAACUCCGUGCCAGCAGCCGCGGUAAUACGGAGGGUGCGAGCGUUAAUCGGAAUUACUGGGCGUAAAGCGCGCGUAGGCGGUCUGAUAAGCCGGUUGUGAAAGCCCCGGGCUCAACCUGGGAACGGCAUCCGGAACUGUCAGGCUAGAGUGCAGGAGAGGAAGGUAGAAUUCCCGGUGUAGCGGUGAAAUGCGUAGAGAUCGGGAGGAAUACCAGUGGCGAAGGCGGCCUUCUGGACUGACACUGACGCUGAGGUGCGAAAGCGUGGGUAGCAAACAGGAUUAGAUACCCGAGUAGUC